GACGAACGCUGGCGGCGUGCCUAACACAUGCAAGUCGAACGGAACUGUUUUGAAAGCUUUCUUCGGAAUGAAUUUGAUUUCGUUUAGUGGCGGACGGGUGAGUAGCGCGUGAGUAACCUGCCUUCAAGAGGGGAAUAACAUUCUGAAAAGAAUGCUAAUACCGCAUGACAUAUCGGAACCACAUGGUUUUGCUAUCAAAGAUUUUAUCGCUUGAAGAUGGACUCGCGUCCGAUUAGUUAGUUGGUGAGGUCACGGCUCACCAAGACCGCGAUCGGUAGCCGGACUGAGAGGUUGAACGGCCACAUUGGGACUGAGACACGGCCCAGACUCCUACGGGAGGCAGCAGUGGGGGAUAUUGCGCAAUGGGGGCAAAUCUGACGCAGCAACGCCGCGUGAAGGAUGAAGGUUUUUGGAUUGUAAACUUCUUUUAUUAAGGACGAAAAAUGACGGUACUUAAUGAAUAAGCUCCGGCUAACUACGUG
rnacentral:rRNA from 1 species